rnacentral:rRNA from 1 species
GGGACGAAGGUUGGGGGUUGAAAGGCCUCCGGCUGACGGUACCGGAAGAGGAAGCCCCGGCUAACUACGUGCCAGCAGCCGCGGUAAGACGUAGGGGGCGAGCGUUGUCCGGAAUCACUGGGCGUAAAGGGCGCGUAGGCGGCCUGGCAAGUCGGAUGUGAAAGGCCCCGGCUCAACCGGGGAGGUGCAUCCGAAACUGCCGGGCUUGAGGGCAGGAGAGGGCAGCGGAAUUCCCGGUGGAGCGGUGAAAUGCGUAGAGAUCGGGAGGAACACCAGUGGCGAAGGCGGCUGCCUGGCCUGGCCCUGACGCUGAGGCGCGACAGCGUGGGGAGCGAACGGGAUUAGAUACCCCGGUAGUCCACGCCGUAAACGAUGGGUGCUAGGUGUGGGAGGUAUCGACCCCUUCCGUGCCGGAGCUAACGCACUAAGCACCCCGCCUGGGGAGUACGGCCGCAAGGCUGAAACUCAAAGGAAUUGACGGGGGCCCGCACAAGCGGUGGAGCAUGUGGUUUAAUUCGAAGCAACGCGAAGAACCUUACCUGGGCUUGACAU